rnacentral:rRNA from 1 species
UCCGACAACCGUACCACAUUGAAAGCACCGGUUCUCGUCCGAUCACCGCAGUUAAGCAACAUUGGGCCCGGUCAGUACUUGCAUGGUUGAAUACCGGGUGUUGCCGGCU